rnacentral:lncRNA from 1 species
AAUAUAUGCAUGCAAGACAAUGAUAUCAAUUCAAAAUUGAUUUUCAUAAUUUUGUUAAACUAAAAUCUCCAUCAUGCACUGUGGUUUAAAACUUUAAAAUCAUUUUCUCCAAAUAUCCUGGAUUUCUACCAAACUUGGACAGAAGCUUAAUGCUUAUGAUCAUAAGAUAAUAUCCAAAAGUAAAGUUUGAAAAAAAAUCCUUUUUUUCGUAUAUUACUUAUAAAAGGACUAGUUUUUCCCCAGAUAACAUUACAAACACUCUGCAGUUAAAGUUUUUAAAACAUUAGAAUUUAUAAACCAUCCAGUAUUUUUACCCAAUUUUGACAGAAGCUUCUUACAGUACUAGUCAAAAGAUAGUAUCUAGAGGAAAAUUUUAAUAUUUUUUACUCAUUUUUGUUGAGCCUGCGAUUAACAGCAAAAGAAGACUAUUUGUUCUGCAAAACCCUUACAAUUUUAAUAGCUUAAUACAUCAAUAACCCAUCUCCAGCUAGGGGUUGAAUUGAAGGUAUUCAAUGAGGUCCAAAUAUUCACUCGCAAGUGCACAACUCAUCAACCUUGUUUCGCAGCUAAUUUAACAAAAUAGAACCAGAUUGGCUGCUAACAGUGAAUUAUAAUUUCACUAUAUCAUUUUUAUUAAUGAUUUAACAACAAAAAAAA